rnacentral:rRNA from 15 species
CAACUUUCAGCAAUGGAUCUCUUGGCUCUCGCAUCGAUGAAGAACGCAGCGAAAUGCGAUAAGUAAUGUGAAUUGCAGAAUUCAGUGAAUCAUCGAAUCUUUGAACGCAUCUUGCGCUCCUUGGUAUUCUGAGGAGCAUGCCUGUUUGAGUGUCAUUA